rnacentral:rRNA from 1 species
UACGGAGGGUGCAAGCGUUAUCCGGAUUUACUGGGUUUAAAGGGUGUGUAGGCGGGCUUUUAAGUCAGUGGUGAAAUCUCCGGGCUCAACCCGGAAACUGCCAUUGAUACUAUUAGUCUUGAAUUUUGUUGAGGUAGGCGGAAUAAGUCAUGUAGCGGUGAAAAUGCUUAGAUAUGACUUAGAACACCAAUUGCGAAGGCAGCUUGCUAAACAAACAUUGACGCUGAGGCACGAAAGCGUGGGGGAUCAAAACAGG